rnacentral:tRNA from 1 species
AAUGAAUUGCCUGAUAAAAAGGGUUACCUUGAUAGGGUAAAUUAUGUAAUAAUAUUGCAUUCAUUA